AUGCUACUCCCUCCGUCCCAAAAUUCUUGUCUUAAAUUUGUCUAGAUACGGAUGUAUCUAACUAGAUACAUCCGUAUUUAGAAAAAUCUAAGACAAGAAUUUUGGGAUGGAGGGAGUAUUAU
rnacentral:pre_miRNA from 1 species